GUCUGCCCGGGUCUGGCCGGGUCUGCCCGGCGCGGCGCCCUCCGCCCGUGCGUCCCCCGUCCCACUGCUCCUCCGCGGCGCGGCCCGGCCCGCACCGCAGCCCACCGCGGGGGGCUUCCUGCUCGGGCCUUCCACCCGGGGGCGGGGGGUGCCCCCGGUGUUCCGCGUUCGGCUUGCACUUGGCGGACGCUGAGGCGGCCGGUGUGACCGGUUCUCUCUGCUUUCGGUCUGGCUUGGGUUCUCCUUUCGUACUGAGAGGUGGGGCUUUUUAAGGUGGCUUCACGGCCGGCUGGGGGAGUUGUUACCCGGUUAAACUACCGCUGAGGUGACACCUCUGGGUGGUAUAAAGACAGAACUGCUUAACUCAGAUUAUGUGCAUAACCUGGAUGCUGCUGAGUUAUACAGUAAUCAACUUCUUUGUAAAUGAUAGUUGCUUGAUCAAAUAAGAUCUCCUAAGGAUAACAUCCUCUAAUCUCCAAAGAUGACAGCUGUUGCAGUACUAGAGGAGGUACUGGCUUCCAUCGAAAAUGAGCUGCAAGCAGUGGAGAUGCAGAUUCAGGAGCUUGUGGAUAAACAACAGGAACUCAUUCAAAAGAAGAUGAGAGUGAAGAGUCUGAUAAAGCAGUCCUCAGAAGACUUGGAGGCAGGCGGAAGUAAAGACACCGAAACCUCAGCUGAGGCAUGGAACAAAAAAGAUUUUCCAUGGUAUGACAAGAUAAAAACUGCACUGCAGAGCAAAUUUAAACUUCAGAAGUUUAGGAACUUGCAACUUGAAACAGUAAAUGCUGCAAUGGCGGGAAAGGAUAUAUUUCUUGUCAUGCCUACAGGUGGUGGGAAGAGCCUUUGCUAUCAGUUACCAGCUGUCUGUUCUGAUGGUUUCACACUCGUGAUAUGUCCUUUGAUAUCACUUAUGGAAGAUCAGCUCAUGGUUUUGGAACAGCUUGGUGUUUCUGCAACUUUGUUAAAUGCCUCCAGCAGUAAGGAACACGUGAAGUGGGUUCAUACCGAAAUGCUAAACAGAAAUUCACAACUGAAGCUCAUUUAUGUGACCCCGGAGAAGAUUGCAAAAAGCAAAAUGUUCAUGUCAAAGCUAGAGAAAGCUUAUCAAGCAGGGUGUCUUGCUCGCAUUGCUGUAGAUGAGGUCCAUUGCUGUAGUCAAUGGGGCCAUGACUUCAGGCCUGAUUACAAGUCUCUUGGUAUCUUGAAAAGACAGUUUCCCAAUGCUCCCUUGAUUGGAUUGACAGCAACUGCUACAAAUCAUGUUUUAAAGGAUGCUCAGAAAAUUUUGCAUGUUCAGAAGUGCAUUACCUUCACUGCUUCUUUCAACCGGCCCAAUCUUUACUAUGAGGUUCGGCAUAAGCCUUCAAAUAGUGAAGAUUUCAUUGAGGACAUUGUUAAGAUCAUUAAUGGAAGAUACAAAGGACUCUCAGGAAUUGUUUACUGUUUUUCUCAGAAGGAUUCUGAGCAAGUAACUGUGAGUUUGCAGAAACUGGGAAUCAAGGCGGGGACUUACCACGCAAACAUGGAUGCUAAAUAUAAGACAAAAGUUCAUAAAGGAUGGGCAGCAAAUCAAAUCCAGGUUGUAGUGGCAACUGUUGCUUUUGGCAUGGGAAUUGAUAAACCUGAUGUGAGGUUUGUAAUUCAUCAUUCUAUGAGCAAAUCCAUGGAGAACUACUACCAAGAGAGUGGACGUGCAGGUAGAGAUGACCAAAAAGCUGACUGCAUUUUGUAUUAUGGUUUUGGAGAUAUAUUCAGAAUCAGCUCAAUGGUAGUGAUGGAAAAUGUAGGGCAAGAGAAGCUGUAUGAUAUGGUGUCUUACUGCCAGAAUAUGAAGAAAUGUCGCCGGGUCCUCAUAGCCCAUCAUUUUGAUGAAGUAUGGGAUUCUGCAAACUGCAACAGAAUGUGUGAUAACUGCUGUAGAGAGAACUCAUGUGAGAAAAUGGAUAUAACAGGGUACUGCAGGGAUCUAAUCAAGAUACUUGAGCAAGCUGAAAACAUGAGCGAGAAACUCACCCCACUGAAAUUAAUCGAUGCGUGGUCCGGGAAAGGUGUAUCAAAAUUCAGGGUAGCUGAAGUUACUCCACCAAAGCACCCUCGAGAGGAACUGGAGAGAAUUAUUGUCCAUUUACUGCUGCAGCAGUAUCUGAAGGAAGACUUCAGCUUCACAGCAUUCGCUACAAUAUCCUACCUGAAGACAGGACCAAAAGCAGGUCUGCUGAGAAAUGAGGCACACAUCAUAACUAUAGAAGGGAUAACAAACAAGAAAAGUGUUUACAAGGACAAACCAUCUCAAUCUUCGAAUUCAAAAGGAAGCAGCGAAGACGGUCAGACUAUUUCAAAGACUGUUCAAGAUUCAGUGGUGAAGAAGUCUCAGCAGCAUAAACGACCUAACUGUGGUUCUAACUUAAAAGCAAAGAAGCUUAAGAUUCAGGCAGGUGGAGAUGACCAACCAGUAGUUGUUGACUGACUUUUACAGACUACGUUUAGGAUCUAAUCAUGUUUGCUUCUCCAUGUGCAACGCAAUGUAUCUGUCUGGCUGUUCCCAAUCACCUUCAUGUGUCUGAAGAUGUCUUCGGGGAGUAUUUGCUCUGUAAGUCUUCUGAGGGCUGAGAUGAAGCUGACUGCAUGUUAAGGCCUUAGGCCCUUCUUUUUGAAGCUGGUGAGAUAGCUGCCUCUUCCCAGUUGUCAGGAUCCUCCCCCACCCUCCAAGUCCUUUCAGAAAUGAUAGCAGCCUUGCACCGACCUCUACUAGCUUCCUCAGCAUCCCUCAGUGCGGCCCAUCCAGUCAUGUGGAAUUGUGUGUGACCAAUUGGCUGAAGUGAUCUGUACCACUUUCCUCUACUGCUUUACUCCCAGACUAUUAGUAGGCUUGGGGACCUGGGAGGUCGGAGGGAAAAUGUUACCAGUGAAAACGAGGCAAAAAAUGCAUGUUUAUUCUAUGUCCCAUGUUGUUCUGGGUAUCUUUUACCUUGUGCCUCCUUUUUGUGUUUCACCUAGCUGAGGAGUUCUCUGUUCACCUGUGCUGGUCUUCUGCCAUGCUUGCUCAACCUUUUGCACUUUGGAAUGGGCUAUUUGUGUUUUGAGAAGGUUUGGAAAUCCAGCAGCUCUCCUGAGCCCCGUUGCCUUCCAGGGCAGUCUCCCUGGGAUCCUGGCAAGCAGAUCCCACAACAAGCUGAAAUCUGCUCUCCUGAGGGCCAAGGCAGUGGUUCUACUUAGUCUUCCUCACUUCUACCUAUUUUAAAAUUCUGAAUCAUACAGUCACUGAGCAACACCUGCGAUCUGGGCGCCCAGUAAGAAACAAACUUGGCAGUGUCUCCAAGUCAGGUUGGCAGUGAGGGCUUCUGUCCCCCACAGGAGCGAUUCUCUGGUAACUCUCAUCUUUUUCUUCACUGUGUGAACACAUGGCUCACAUUCAGCCGGCGUCGGUGCAUCCCUUGGCGGAGUUAUUCAUCCCCGCCUUUCUCAGGGCACUGUCCCCACUCUGAAAGGGCAGAGCUGCAGGUAGAAAAGAGCCCUUUUGUGUUACUGGAAGCAAGAGGUUUACAGCCUUCCCUCCUCUGGGAGUGUUGUGGUUUAACCCCAGCUGGCAACUAAGUACCACACAGCUCCUCACUCGCUGCCCCUCGUAGGAGGGGGAGGAGAAUUGGGGGGGAAAAGGUAAAACCCAUGGGCUGAGAUAAGAACAGUUUAAUAAUUAAAAUAAAAUAAUAAUAAUAGUAGUGAGAAGGGAGACAAGAGAGAAAGAAAUGCGAAGAAAUACACGUGCUGCACAGUACAAUUGCUCACCACCCCCAGCCAGUCCCUGAGCAGCAAUGGGCAGGCCCUGCCCAACUCCCCUCGGUUUAUAUACUCAGCAUGACAUUCUGUGGUAUGGAGUAUCCCUGGGGCUCGUUCGGGUCAGCUCUCCUGGCUCUGCUCCCUCCUGCCUUCUUGUGCGCCUCCUCGCUGGCAGAGCAUGGGCAACUGAAAAGUCCUUGAGUUAGAGUAAGCGUUGAUUAGCACUAACUAAAACAUCCCUGUGUUGUUAACGUUAUCCUUAUCUUAAAUUCAAAACACUUAACCAUACCAACUACUAGGAAGAAAGUUAAGUCUAUCCCAGCUGAAACGAGGACACCGUAGGAUCAGGAGUAAGAUCAGCCCUUCCCUGUCUGGGAAACUGGCCCCUGGAGACGGGAGCAGCAGUUUUCCUGGAAGAACACCCAUUUGUAACUGUUUUUCCUCGCAGCUCAUGCACCUGUGCCUCUGGGGUUGAGGUGGAUCUUCUGUCCCCCUCCCUCAUGUCCUCUCCAUGGUGCUGCAGGUGAAGCCACAGGGUACCCUGUGGUGUGUAGCUUCUAUAUCCCUGAUGGGUAAAAGCCCUCUCUUCAGCAAAAGAACGCUGACUGCUAGUAGCGGAGAUACUGGUCCAUACAGGUGGGGAGUAGGAGCUAUCCUCUGGUGCCUUUUCCUCCUGUUCCUGUGAUGGCCCUGCUUUGUCCUCUACUGAAUGAGCUAGCUUUUGUGUCAAUUUCUUCUGGUGCAUAGGGGUGACUAAAACCAGCAUGGGUUGGUUCUCUGGUUCAUACUUUUUCCAAGUAUUUUACAAGUUUUUCCAGAUUCUGCACUUGUUCAGAGGUGAAGUUCCAAAACAGUGGAGGUGCCCACUGUCCUAGGUACUUGCCCACACUAUCCCACACACCCUGCCACUUGUAACUAUCCAACGUCGGGGCAGCUCUCUGGGUGGUAUUCUUCAAGAGUUGUUUAACCUUAAGUAAGACCUGGAACAUAUUCAGCAAGAUGCUGGUUUUAACAUUGCAAGGAUUUUUACAAUUCUCAAAUGCUACUGUCAUCAGCCUGGUGGGGAAGGGGAGGAUAUGGGAAGACAUCUCCUCUAUAGGUUUGCUCUCCAAGAAAAGGGUAAAGGUGGAAUUAUUAAUCUUUUCCGGUAGAUGGCUCCCCAAGUACGGGGAUGACAAACAGCAGGUUAGUCUCAGGCCCAGCAGUUUUACUCUUACCAGAAAGCAGUGUUCAUAGGUACAACAAAAUUACAACCUUAGCCCAGGCCCCAGAGGUGAUUAAACAGCACAACAGGGAGCACAUAGUGCAAGUAAGGUACUACAUGAUGCAACUUUAAGAACAAAUGCAACAACUCUGAGAGCAAACAAAUCAACAUUGUGAACCAGCAGCUAUUAAACUAUAACAUAAUGAAUGCUUAUAACAGAUUUGUUCUAACACAUCGCAGCCAGAUUUUUCAUUAUCUCAACCUGUUGUGCCCCACACUGGGCACCAAAAAUGACUGUCGUGGUUUCACCCCAGCCAGCAACUAAGUACCGCUGAGCUGCUCGCUCACUCCCCCCACCCCUGUGGGAUGGUGAGCAGAAUCAGGAAAAGGUAAAAACCCGUGGGUUGAGGCAAGAACAGUUAACAAGUGAAAUAAAGUAACAUACAACAACAACAAUUAACAUGGAGCUACAAGAGACAGGAAUAAACCCCAAGAAAUUCAAGUGACACGCGACACAACUGCUCGCCACCUGCUGAUGGAUGCCCAGCCAGUCCCUGAGCAGUGAUUGCAGGUCCCAGCCAACCUCACCCCUGCUCUCCACACCCCACCCCCAUUUAUAUACCCAGCAUUAUGUUUGGUGUUACAGAAUACCCCUUUGGCUUGUUCGGGUCAGCUCUCCUGGCUCUGCUCCCUCCCGCCUUCUUGUGCACCUCCGCACUGGCAGAGCAUGGGCAACUGAAAGUCCUUGAUUUAGAGUAAGCACUAAUUAGCACCAACUAAAACAUCCCUUGUUGUUAGCAUCAUCCUUACCUUAAAUCCCAAACAUGUCGUUGUACUAACUACUAGGAAGAAAAUUAACUCCAUCCCAGCCGAAACCAGGACAGGGAACCUCUAUCCACUGCUCCUGUGAGGGUCAUCCAAGUUUGCCCUCCUUUUGCAAUACAGCACCUGCGUGGUCCGUAGCUCUGUACAUCUCUGAAGACCCCUUCACCUCCCGU